UUCCCCCUCCCUUCCUCCCUCUCCUCCCUCCCUCCCUCUUUCAGCAUCUCCCCUACCCUCUUUCUUUCUCUUCUCUCCCUCUCUCCCCUCCCUCUCUCCCCCUCCCGCUCUCUUCUCCCUCUCCCUACAAGUCUGGCACUGAAGGAGAACUGUUUUGCUUUGCUCCGGGAAGAGUGCAGACACGACGUGAAAUCCGGAGCUCUUUGCGUGGUGCAUUUAAAAUGCUUCCUUAUUUAUAUUACCCUCAUCCCCUCCCCUCUCCCACCCCCUCACCAGCCCUUCCAAAUUUCCCUAGAAAUCUGUGUAAAGCGUGGAGGGGAAAACAUUUGCUUAAAAAGUGAAGGAGCUCGCCAAGGAGUUCCCGUUUGGGUAGUCGAGCCUGUCCUGAUACCGAGUGGUGGCACGAGGGGUGAUCACCCAAGCGAGGCAGUCUCAGAGGUUACAGAAGCUGGAAAGCCUGACUGAAGGAUCUCAGGAGUCCCAGGAACUUAGUUUCGUACACGGAAAGAAAGUUUGGGAAUUUGGCAGUUCUGCUGGAUCAAGCAAAUGAAAGAAUUGUUUGCAGCUGGUGCUGGACCUGAAGCUGUGGACUUGGUGGAAGAAGACGAGUUUCUCUGAUGAAGGAGGUCUAUCUUUAGUCAAAGGUGUGUGAACAGCUGCCCAUCCCUGCUGGACCUUCAAAGGAACUUGCAAGAUGUCUAUUUCUAGAGCUAGACCAUAGCACGUAUGGGUCCUUGCAGAAGAAGAUCUAUCAAAGAGCUGGUUUCUUUGGCGGGAGAGUGGGGCUGUUGUGUUUGGAUGCAGUGAUGCCCACGAAAAUACUUGACAUGAAAACCCAGUAUUCUUUUCUCAUGAUAAUGUUAUUGCUUAAGGAAAUCAAAUAGUAACUUCUAAGUAGUUUCUAAUGCUAAAGAUUUUAUUUCUUUUAAAUUAGUUUGUUUUUUAUAGGACUUUUUUUUCCAACCCAGGAUUUGACAACUGGAGUGUAGAAUGGAAUCAUAGCUCAGUGUGUCCAGCUGGGAUGUAGCUCUGUCAGUUGACAGAGCACUUACCUAGUAGGUGCAAAGUGUGCUUCCCAGCACAGAGGAAAUGGCUUUGUUGGUAUCCGCCUAGGAUUCAAGCAUUCAGGAGCUGGAGGUUGGAGGUAACCAAGCUCAAGUGUAGGAACUUUGGAGCCAAUCUGGGUUACAUGAGACCCUGCCAAAAACAAAAAAGCAAGCACAAUGUUGAACUAUGAUCAAAUGAAGAUCAGAUAGUAGAGUGGAUGACGGGACUGUUAAGAAGAAGUAAUGAAGGGUCUGGUUCUUGUAUCAAAGGUUUAGCUAUGAUGGUAUUCUUAAAAACUCCCAACUCCUGUGACAUUUCCUGAUUAUGAAAUUUUCUUUUAUACAACAAGCUACUCCCAAUUUUGAUGUGAAAAUUGGAUAUGAAUUUGUACAUAUUUGUAUCACAGUGUAGAAAAACUGCCAAUGAAUUCUAAUGGAAAUCUGUAUUACUACAAUACAAUGUUGUUAAUUCACAUUGUAAUAGUCUUUUACAAUAAAGACUAUUCUCAACUUGAAAUCUUAUAAAUAAAUGAUUUUGAAGUCCAA